rnacentral:rRNA from 1 species
CAGAGGUGGCAAGCGUUGUUCGGAAUUGCUGGGCGUAAAGGGCGCGUAGGCGGCCUUCUAAGUCAGACGUGAAAUCCCCAGGCUUAACUUGGGAACUGCGUCUGAUACUGGAGGGCUCGAGUGCGGGAGAGGGAUGUGGAAUUCCAGGUGUAGCGGUGAAAUGCGUAGAUAUCUGGAGGAACACCGGUGGCGAAGGCGGCAUCCUGGACCGACACUGACGCUGAGGCGCGAAAGCUAGGGGAGCAAACGGGAUUAGAUACCCCGGUAGUCCUAGCCCUAAACGAUGAGUGCUUGGUGUGGCGGGUAUCGAUCCCUGCCGUGCCGAAGCUAACGCAUUAAGCACUCCGCCUGGGGAGUACGGUCGCAAGGCUG